GCAGCACUGAGGCAGCAUGCGUUGGUCCAUACUUUUCAACUGAAGGCAGAGUCGUGUGAAAGGGGCAAGGACGUGAGAAGAAUGUUCUUCUGGUUUAAAAGACGAUGUCAAAAUCCACGAAAGAUUAUCCACAGGACAGAAACUGUGACUCAGUUGGACUGCAGCAUUCAAACUGAACGUGCUACAAAGAGGAGGAGGGAUCAAAGCGCCGCAGAUGACGUCCAUGAGUGUGUCCAAGGACUCAGAUGUGUUAACGGUAACCGUCGGAGUUGUGACUCUGGUAGUUUAUCGUAAAGCGCAAACCCUCAGACAGACAGUGGAUUUGCAGCAUGCUGGUGUGCAACAUGUUGGGACAAAAACGCAUGCGGUCGUCUCCUGAGAGGUAGCCGCAUGACUCAAUAGAAAUUUCAUCAGCGACAAUGGACCAGACUGUUCUAUUUCUCCAGGGAAAAUGCAUGCAACAAAAGAGCAUUGAUGCACAAGGCUGACAAAAGUCCGUCAUGUGCAGUUUUGCAGGACGAGAUGCAGACAUUAGCAGGGCUGGAACAACGAGCGCGCUCUGUGGCCAGACAUCUGCUGCGCAUUAGCGCUCUGCUUACUAACAGAGUGAUAGCAUGUCACACCAGCACUUCUCAAUCGUCGCUGGUGCACCGAGAGCCAGCGGUGGAGAAGUGCUGAGGAGAGGGAACAAUCUGGAAACUACUUUACAAAGCUUCACAUCUAGGACAAUUAUAUGGUCUCAACCAAAUCCCAGCUGAAAUCUCUUUCUAUUUAUGAGAGGAACUGAAAUAGAAAGCUAACGCAGGGCCUUUAAUAAACUACGCUGCCAAAACAAGA